rnacentral:rRNA from 1 species
UACGUAGGGUGCGAGCGUUAAUCGGAAUUACUGGGCGUAAAGCGUGCGCAGGCGGUUUGCUAAGACAGGUGUGAAAUCCCCGGGCUUAACCUGGGAACUGCGCUUGUGACUGGCAGGCUAGAGUACGGCAGAGGGGGGUGGAAUUCCUGGUGUAGCAGUGAAAUGCGUAGAUAUCAGGAGGAACACCGAUGGCGAAGGCAGCCCCCUGGGCCUGUACUGACGCUCAUGCACGAAAGCGUAGGGAGCAAACAGGAUUAGAUA